rnacentral:lncRNA from 1 species
GUCCCCACCACCAGCCAUGACCAUCAUCCCACCUCUCCAGCUCUCCUCCUCUCUGCCCCCCAGGCUCAGCCCCCCGGGCUCUCCUUUCUCUGGGAGGGGAACCCCUGCUCAUCUGUCCGAGUGGUGCCGGUGCCACUGGGGCCGAGCUGGGCUGUGCAGCUUCCAGAUGGAAUCAAAUGCUACUUUAUUUUUGUAGUUUUAACCCCACAGGUCACAUGAUUUUAACUACUCUGAUUUUCCUGCUGUAAUACAGAUCCCACCAAAAAUAAAGCCAUGAUUUUUCCUUGAACAAGAAUGGAGAUUGGGGGUUGGUUCCCCCCCACCCCCCGCAUUUUCUCUUAAAAUUCCUCUUCACCUUGGAAUUUUUUUUUCCUAGCAUAAAGCCAGCUGGGUUUGGGUCUGUGAGUUUAGAGUGGGAAGUUACUCACGGCUUUUGUCUCCUUCCUGGAGCCAGAUUCUCCCACUGUCACCACCAGUGCAGCUGGUGGCAUGCCCACCCUGUCGGGGUCCUCUCUCCCAGUUGCCCCCACUGGGAAAAUGGGAGCCCACUGGUCUGGCUCCCAUCAGGCCCAGCACUUACAGCUCUUCCUGGGAGUGGGGAAAGGGGGUCAGGGGAUGUGGAAAUAACCCCAGGGAGGGUCCUGUGAGGCAUCGAGGCAGCAGAGAACUUUCUCAGCCCUGGGGGUUCCCAAACUUGCCCGGGGGGGUGGUCCCAACAGCUCAGCGUUAUGGACAGCCCAAACCAUUCUGGCCCCAUUUUUGGAGCUGGGGCUCUGCCCCCCAGGACUGUCGCUGCUCCGCCAACAGCCCCUCCCCGUGGCCUCCAGCCUGGCUUCUCUGUGGGCCCCCGUCUGCACAGAAGGGUUUGGUGUGUGGGGUGUUGUUGCACCUUUCCCCCUUCCUUUCGUCUGCUUCUGGACUUGGUUGGGGAGGAAAAUGUAGAUUUCAGGAAGACUCUGGGGGUGCUCGCAGGGGAUGGAGGGCGGGGUUGGAUGCAGCACCUUUUGGAGGCAUCAGGGGAUUCCCCCCCACCUGCGACCCCCAACCGAAUUGCAGCCCCCAAUUUCUUUUAGGCAAAGGGCCCUUCCCACGCCCUCCCGGAGCUGCUCGCGCCCCGGGGCUGGCGGUCCCCGGGAUUUCUCCCUCCUCGUUUCCCCGUCACCCACCUGAGCCGCGCUCCCCACGCGAGCGGCUUUUCCCCGUGGGCAGAGCGGGGCUGGGGCCGGCCGGGGGGAAGCAGCCACUGGACCCGGAGCCAGGGCUCUCCUGGAAGAGAAGACACAGAAAGGGUCGGUUAAAGAGCCGGCAGCGCCGGGGGUGUCCGCGCAGCCCCCACACGUGGGUGUCGGCGGAGCAGCUCUGCAGGGUCCCGGCGGGGCCGGCUUUAACCAUUCCCCACCCUCACUG